rnacentral:rRNA from 1 species
UACGUAGGGGGCGAGCGUUGUCCGGAUUUAUUGGGCGUAAAGAGCUCGUAGGCGGUUUGGUAAGUCGGGUGUGAAAUCUCCACGCUCAACGUGGAGGGGCCACUCGAUACUGCCAUGACUCGAGUCCGGUAGAGGAGUGUGGAAUUCCCGGUGUAGCGGUGAAAUGCGCAGAUAUCGGGAGGAACACCCGUAGCGAAGGCGGCGCUCUGGGCCGGAACUGACGCUGAGGAGCGAAAGCGUGGGGAGCAAACAGG